GUCAUUGACGCUUUGACAACAAGUCUUUUAUGAAUAGAGCUCUUUAUGCUCUUGCUUUUUUUGCCGACUCCAAAUUGGACCUUUGAUCCAUAUUUAAUAUUAUAUGUGAUAAAGGGGCAAUGUUACCUAUAAUUGAAAGACUUCAAUGUCACCGUGUGUGACGGAUCCAGAAUUUUUAAGUAGCUUUAUAAUCUCGAAAUACGUUUAGCAAUGAAAGGAGUUCAUGAAUAUGAUAUCCCCUGGUCAUUUCGAUAUGUGCAGUCUAAGGCUAUGAUCGGUUUUAUGUAAAAUCUUCAAGCAAAAUAGUAUCUUGUAACUCCUGAACAUUAAGGGUGUGUUUGGAAGAGAGAAGAAGUUGAAAAGAGAGAAAGAGUGUGAUAAGAGAGAAAUAGAUGAGAAAUAAAGGGGAUUUGAUGUAUUGUUUGGUAUAAAAGAAUGAAGAGAGAAAUUGAAAAGAGAGAAGUGUCUUAUUUUUGUAAAAAGUCUUAAAUGUCCUUAGUCGAAUUAAUUUAUUAAUAUAUUUAUUUUUAUAAAUA